UACGUAGGUGGCAAGCGUUGUCCGGAUUUACUGGGCGUAAAGAGCGCGCAGGCGGCUGGUCAAGUCCGAUGUGAAAUCUCCCGGCUUAACUGGGAAACUGCAUCGGAAACUGAUCGGCUUGAAGGUGGGAGAGGGUAGUGGAAUUCCCGGUGUAGUGGUGAAAUGCGUAGAUAUCGGGAGGAACACCAGUGGCGAAGGCGGUUCUCUGGGCAUUACCUGACGCUGAGGAGCGAAAGUGUGGGGAGCGAACAGG
rnacentral:rRNA from 1 species